rnacentral:rRNA from 1 species
UACGUAGGUGGCAAGCGUUGUCCGGAUUUACUGGGCGUAAAGGGCGUGCAGGCGGUUUGUUAAGUCUAGGGUGAAAGCUCCCGGCUCAACUGGGAGAGGUCCUUGGAUACUGGCAGACUUGAGGAGGGUAGAGGAGAGUGGAAUUCCCGGUGUAGUGGUGAUAUGCGUAGAUAUCGGGAGGAACACCAGUGGCGAAGGCGGCUCUCUGGGCCCUAACCUGGACGCUGAGACGCGAAAGCGUGGGGAGCGAACCGG